rnacentral:lncRNA from 1 species
UGGGACACAGCCAGGAUUUGCAGUAUUUUGAAAUGGAUCUGUCAGCAGGAUAGUCCCUGGAGAAUUUUAUUCCUGUGGUGUAAUUUCAGGUUGGUCUCUGCUGUUUUCAAAUCAGCCAGGAAGAGCCCACUGUAUCUCCAGCUGAGAACUCAGAGUGGAGUUUUCAAGCAUCUUUUGCCACCUCUGUGGACUCUGCCCAAAAAGAUUGAUCCCUCAGAAAGUCUGAUGGUUUCGACUUCUAGACAAGUUAGCACUCUUGGAGAACACACUGUAACUUCUGUAUGGAUGAGAUUGACUGGGACUUAUGGAAUGGCAUCAUCUCUCUUAGCUCUAAACUGAGUUGAAUCCAACAUCCCUUUCCUGAAUUGACUAACAAAUCCAGCAGAAGUUUUUGAAGCACUUCUUUGCAAAUCUCAACCACAAAAGAAAAGCAGUCACGUCUACGGGUCCUGAACUGCCUCAAGGAAAAUGGAAACAUCAACAUUUACAGGUGAGGUGAUACAAAAUUUUUUAUAUAGGGAACCCUGCAUUAUUA